GCCAUUAUGUGAUUGCUUAUGGGCUUACUUUCUUUUUUUCUCUCUCAUUCUCUUUCAUCUCUCUCUUAUUACUUUUUUCUCUCAAACAAACGUACCCUCAAGAGCGACUAAAAGCAAGAGCAAGGGUGAAACAUAGUGUGUGAUCAUGGGACAGUCAAGGCUAUCCUCUCGUCUCGAGAGACGUAUUUUUAAAAACUAUUUUGAUUUUUGUAGUUUUUAAAAAUAAAAAACUAGAUCAUAUUUUACAUAUUUUGAUUUUUAAUUUUACUUUUUACAUUUAACAAACAUAAACAUAUUUUACAUAUUCUGAGUUGCAAUUGGUUUCGGGCUCAAUUUCUUGCGCUCCGUGUCAUCAGCGUUUAGAUCCUCCAUGAGAGUUUCUUGUGUUUGAUUACGGUUUCUGGAAUUGGGAUCGGAAAAAUUUUGGAUUUGAGGAUUUUCGAGGAUUUCAGAGGAAUGAGGAUCGACGCGGUGAAUUACACCAAUUCUUUUGUUUGCCGUUCCUAACAGCUACAUCAACGUCACGCUUCGUUUCUUGAUUGUUCAAUCACGCUUCGAUUCUUGAUUGUUCAGUCACGCUUGGGUUCUUGAUUGUUCAAUCUUGCAAGAUUUUGUGAUUCUUAUUCAGCGUUGGAUGUUUUAGCCUUCAUAAUAAUUCAAAAUACUUGCAACAAGAAUUCUUCCAACCCAUGUUGAAAAUCCGUGACAAUAUAAAUCUUUAUUGUUAAUGUGAAAUUGGAUGGUAUUCACUGGGCCUUGAUUAGUCAUGGAUUCUGGUUGCAAAUAUAUUUGAGAUGGGAAGCUAUAACAUCGAUAAUCCUGAAUUCAAUUACAAGAUAAAUUGUAUAAAAUUGGGACGGUAUGCUUGACGGGACAUGUCCCUAAAUGCGAUCACUAUAUGGAUUUUGUAUUCAUAAUGGGAAGUAUACAAUGUUCUUGAGAAUUGAUGGACCUUUUUGCGAUAACUAUAUGAAAUGAAUCUUUAUCUUUGAUGAAAAAUAGUAUGGGGUGCCUAGUUCUUUGAUGAGUCGGUGAUUCUAAUUGCAAGUAUUAUAUUUGAGAUGGUAUGGUUGAGCAUUGAUGACCCUAAUUCGAUUGCUCUAUGAAUUAUAUAUCGGAAUGAAAUAUUUAAGCCUUGUGAACGCUAAAUAUAUGAAAAUCGAAGACCAAGAACAAUAUCAUAUUUUCUUUGAGACAACUCAAAAAUUGAAAAUCUAUAUGGAAUGCUUGAAUUGAUUUUAUCAUAGAUAGAAUAUUUAACACUGGAUCCAUAUUGAAAGUUGUCACCAUCACUUCUCGUGUCUGUCGCAAUCUGUGUUCAAAAUUGUCUAUACUAUGUCCAUUGAUAUAGCAGUAACUAUGAGGUGAGAAGGUAGAGCAAUAAUUGUGGGAUAUUGAGCUUUAUAUAAUUCUGCAAAUGAAGAUGGGUUGUUGCCAAUUGAUACUAAGUUUUUUCUCCUAGCUUGAUGAUGCAGAUUUAAGGGUGUGCCUAAUGGUUUUAGGAGAUUGCUGUUUGAUCAUAACCAAUUGCGAACUUUAGAUGUUAACACUGUUACCGCAAUUCCUUAUGAAUGAGAGGAUUCUUAAACACCUUUGCAUGUAUCGGAUAUUUUUUUUCAAGUAUUUUUAUAAUCAUGGAAGCUUUUAUUUUUUCUGAGGUUGCUAUUUUGCUACUUAGUUAACUAUAGUCAGAACAUUUUUGCUUCUACUGAUAGCAAUGCUAUAUACCAAGGGUAAAUACCUUUGCGCUGUGAGAGAGUUAAGUACCCAAUUGUAUGGGUUACAAUUGUUGUGUAAAAUUUAUGGGCUAUUUGUUGUGUGAUUUAACUUCUCUUGAUAUUCCAAUUGCAAAUUGCUAACCUUAAACUUGGACAUUAUUCCAAGUUAAUUGUCUUUUGUUAAUUUUUCUCUGAAUCCUCUGAUACCAUUGGCUUUCAAUCUGGUUUUGAUGUAAAGUUCUUUUUUAAUUUCCUAUCUGAUGAUGGAGAUUUAAGUUUUGAGCUAAACAUUGGCAUUGUCUGUGGGAAUGAUGUCGUUCUCGAUUUAGUCUCUCACAAUUCUGGUGAAUCUUGGAAACAACUUCACUAACUCAGAGGAUCCAAAAAAGAACUCACUUUACUGUGAUCUACAUUUUCUUCAAGAGCUAAAUUUAUAUGCUUAUGCAUUGAUGUUAUCACAUAACGACAAACAUCCUUCUCGUCGUUUAAAGGUCCAUCGUGGUUUAGUGCCAAAACAGCCUCAAGGUCAAUGUUGUUGCUUCAAAAGUUAUGCUCAGUUUAGAAUUCAAUUAGAGUGAGGUGACAUGAUUCACACUCUCAAUGGUUAGAAUGAAUCAUGCGCUGCAAGAUAUGUAACUGUACAUGACUCAUGCUAUAUAAGCCUUGAGUCACUAUCCUUCUAACUAACUCAAUUCAUUUUCAAUACAAUCAUUUUCAGUUAAUAUUUUCUCUCUUCACCUAACAAGCUAUCAACGUGCCAUAGAUGAUUCCACUUUAGAACUCCUUCGCGUGAAAGAGGAUUGUCACCGUCACUCUGAGCUACAAGUUGGUUCCUCCAAAUAUUUUAAGGGAGAUCACCUCUUUCAUGGACAUCGGCACAACAACUCAGAUUCUUUCACCUCUAAAUCAAUGUUGCCGAAACAAACUGGUCCUUACUGGAUAUGUUUCUAUAUGAUGAAACUCUUUUCUGAUUUGUCUCCAAGACGCUAGCCCUGUGACCAAUUCGAGGCUGAUCUGAAGUAAUGUGUUUGAGUGAAUUGCUAUCUGUUACUGUUUCAAUUUUGCAGAUUUGAUAAAACUAUAUCAACACUUCCAAUUAUUCACUGCACUGUCAAAAUGAGAAUUGUUUUGAUGAAGCAACUGAUCUGAAGGACUAAAAAACCUUUGACAUCCAGCUUGAGAAGCUAUGAAGCAUCAUCAAUUCUUGAACGUACCGUUGGACAUAUUGAGAUAAGAAAACAACUCUUGAACAUUAUUAAGCUUUACUAUCAAGCUUGAACAUACUCUUGAACAUACUGUUGGAACAAAUUGGCUUUACUAUCAAGCUGAAAGUGACUGAGCUCGACAAGCGCUUCUAACGCGCCAACCUAGCAUCAUUGUCGGUUCAGGAUCUAGUAAGGCCAUGAUUCUGCCAAGCAAGUAAGUCUCAUAAGAAGGUGUCACACGCCACUUUAAGGAAACUACUUGAUAGCUUGAUCAUCUUUUGGCUUAACUUCCCUUGAAAAAUUUGGAAAAUAUUUGAAGGCACUGUAAAAAAUUAUUUUAUGUUGCACAUAUUUAUAAAACAACCAGCAAAUUAUUGAUUUUAGAGGAAAGCUUCAGUCCAAUU